CCUACGUGAGGCAGCAGUAGGGAAUCUUCCACAAUGGGCGAAAGCCUGAUGGAGCAACGCCGCGUGGGUGAAGAAGGUCUUCGGAUCGUAAAACCCUGUUUUUAGAGAAGAAAGUGCGUGAUAGUUACUGUUCACGUUUCGACGGUAUCUAACCAGAAAGCCACGGCUAACUACGUUCCAGCAGCCGAGGUAAUACGUAGGUGGCAAGCGUUAGCCGGAUUUAUUGGGCGUAAAGUGACAGCAGGCGGUCUUUUAAGUCUGAUGUGAAAGCCUUCGGCUUAACCGGAGUAGUGCAUUGGAAACUGGGAGAACUGAGUGCAGAAGAGGAGAGUGGAAUUCCAUGUGUAGCGGUGAAAUGCGUAGAUAUAUGGAAGAACACCAGUGGCGAAAGCGGCUCUCUGGUCUGUAACUGACGCUGAGGUGCGAAAGCGUGGGUAGCAAACAGGAUUAGAUACCCGUGUAGUC
rnacentral:rRNA from 1 species